rnacentral:misc_RNA from 1 species
UGGAGACAUGCUCAGGUAAGCCAGAAAGUUCGGAAUUUCAUAUUUUGCAUUACCUAAAUGGAUAUAGGAAAGUGGAGCCAUGUUUAUGUGCGAUCAUUUCUUCAGUUGAUUCAAGAGAGUGUGUUAUAGUGAAAAUGAACACGAAAUAAGAAGUCUUGAACAAUGAAAUGGAUCUCCAUUGCCAUGUGGGUGCAUGUCUAAAGACCUCAAGUUAAGAGCGCUAGAGUCUGAGCCUGCCAAUUUCUGACAGUGUGCAUGGAUCAGAAACAAGAAUACUAUAUGUUCUGAUGCAUCCAAAGUGGCCUAUGUGACUUAUUAGCGUAAUUGAAGCUUUGAAGAGGGGUAUGACCUAAUGGUCUCUUUUCUUACCAACCCAGGAAUGCAUGACUAAAGUUGGAACAUCUAGAAAAUGGAUUCAAAUGAUAAUUUGGAAUCAGCAACUGCCUUGUAAAUGAAGAUUUCUUGUUUUUUGAUUUUUUUUUUUUUAUCUUCACUUAGGAUG